rnacentral:tRNA from 1 species
UUUUAAAGGAUAAUAGCAAUCCAUUGGUUUUAGGCACCAAAAAUCUUGGUGCAAAUCC